AUUAAAAUAUACAAAUUUUCAUGCCAAAUAAUAGGAUAUCUAUCCUUCAUUAUAUAAGCAUAAACAAUGCAAAUAUUCUAGCUUGCUUUGAUCUUUUAAUGUGUGUAUAAUGUAUUAGUAGGUGUACUUUAGUCAAAGAUGCACAAAUACCGUUUGAACUUUUUUGGGUUUGGAAAAGCAAAUGUUUGGGGAUUUAAGGCGUGAUAUUGGGCGGAGUGACCAGCAUCAGCAUCCCAGAUUCACAUCCACAUCAUCGCCAGCGUUGAGAGCUCUUUCGAUCGAAAUAAAUUCGAAUCGAGUGCGAUUCAUCAGCAAGGCGAAGAUAAAGAUUUCAGGGCAAUAGAACAGAAAAUCAAUGUUAUUCAAUCAAAAACCAAUGCAAAAUUGGUUCGCACUCUGGCACACUGCUAUGUAAAGUUAGAGAUUCUACUGUUUCCAAUUUUAUUUUCCAAGUCCAAGUAAGUAUUUUAAAGAACUAUCGUGCUUAAGGCAUUAUAAUGAUUAUAAAUAAAGUGAUUUGCUGCUGAUAAGAAUGGUGAAUUCAGCUCAUUAUAGUCUCAACGUACUUUGUGAGCACUUUGUAUUGCCUCGCCUCGGUUGAUUUUCGUUUUUUUUCGUUUUGGUUUGGUUUUGUUUUGGUUUGCUUUCUAUUUUCUCUAGUUGAUAAGGAUAAAAGUGGUUCAUACUCGCAUAAUCACUCGAACCUCACAACAUAAGAUAGUUGCAAAUAAUACAAGGCAGAGAUUUUGAUGUUUUAAACAGUAAAUAAAAAGGGUAUACACAUAUAAGGAUUAUAUAUACAUUCAAAAUCCAUUAAUAUCAAAUAUUUCGGAUAUCUCAAAAUUAUUACUUUAAAGUACAUCCACGUGUUCGACAAACAGGGUAUCUUUAAGUCGGGCAUCUCGCCCAUAUCGUUCUUUGUUGCUUAUAAAGAAAUCUGUUUGCCGUUGUUUUUGCACAAACACUGACAUACAAACGCAGCUGAUAAGAUAGACGAGAGUCCGUAGAAAUGCCAAAUCGAAAACUAUACGAAAGUACGAAAGUACGGGCAGAAGGAAGUGGGUGGGUGCGGAUGGGAUCGAAUUCAGCGCGUGCCCAAAUGUCCCGUUAAUGAAUACAUUUGUGUGAGCGCUGCGGUAUUCGUUUUUGUGAGUUCUGGAUUUUAAAGUGACCGCAGUGAGUCAUGCGAAUGAAUAAAUCACAGCGGGACCCGCUUUAAAUUUAAUCGUAUUUCAUCAUAGAAUGGAAUAUAUUGCACCCGACAAAGUAUUUACAUACAUGUAUACAUUUAUGUGCAUUUUUCAUCUCGAUUCGAGAUCUUUACAGAAACCUUAAAAGCUGCUGGCUUAGUAUUCAAAAAGCAAGGUCAAGUUCAAAACUAUGCACUUUGCUUUUCAAUGCAGUUCUUGUCUCUUUUGAACCAUACUGCGUUUGGUAUAGAGGGUAAAUUAAAGAAUCGUAUCAUACAUAUGUAUAAUCCUUUCCAAUGUUGACAAAAUGAUCUGUAGAUUCGUGUAGAUUUGCCCCAUUAAGGGCAGGCAAUCCAAGCCGGACGCAUCGGAGAAAGUUUUUUGGGAAGAAAAAGAGAGCUUGGCUCAGUUGCGAAGAAUGGAGCAUAGAGAGUGGCUAAAACGGCGCCGUAGAAAUGGCCAGAGAUGGAGUGAAAGGGAUGGCAAUGUCUAAUUUUCUUUAUUUCCCAAUGCAUUUGUGUCUGUUGAUGCGCCAAACCUAUCGAGCUCUUGACCAUCCAUUGUUGGCAAACUUGUUUGAAGCCCCCCCCCCCUUCUACUUUCACCCGCCGCUCUUUCUCCGGCGAUAAUUUGGCUCUUUCUCCAGCCGAAAGAGCCUGGUAAUUGAGAGUGGCUAAGUGGGAUACCUUUCGACUUUUGCGGAGCGCGAGAUUUUUUUUGGCACUCCGAAGAGCCGGACGCGUCGAACUUUCGGAACGGAAAUGGAAACGGACACACAUGACGGCCAACAGCGCUGAGCGAUAAGAUAGAGCGCGGCGAUCGUACACUGGGGAAAUAUGUGUCAUUUUUUCCGAGUGUCGAGGUGGGAAGUAAACUGCGGCGGGGGAAUAAUGAAGUCAAAACGGUCACGCUUACCCGCACAUCGAUGGAAAAUUAUAAUGAGCGGCGAGAAGAAGCAGCAGCAGGCGGCAGUUGAGCAGUGGAACAGUUGAGCCGUCGAGGAAAACGAUGGAAAAAGAGCAGCAGAUGAUGGGGCAACCACGACGGACGUGAGAACGGAACGAACCGGCGAGAAGCCGCCGUCCACACAGGAACGAAAAAAGAAGGCGUCCAGCUAAAGAAACUUGAAGACUUGGAAAACCUCGUACCUCGAAUCGCCCAACCAUGCAAAUGAGACCGAAAGCGACCGGCGAUCGAGGGAUUUCCAUUUCCAUUCCGGGGUUCUUGAGGUUGCGAAUGGAACGCAGCGCUGGAGAAGCGGCGAUAAUGCAGCCCGCCGACAGCUCCCAUCCAUUAGUCCAUCGCCCAUCGAUGUCGGAAAUACAUAUAUAACCUAAUAACCCCGAGCACGUAUGUGCAUAUCAACGGGAUGCAAUGGAUGUUUGACUUUGGAAUUUUCUUUUUAUGACUUUAGCUUAGCUCUUGCGGCCAAACGGACGGAAGUGCUCACAUUCUAAGCCAAAACUGACACCUUCUCUAAUAUACAUACUAAAUGCUAACACUACCAAACUAGCCACAUUAGGUCAUGAUUCAAUAGCAUGCCACUGGGUAUCGUAUAUCCCCACUUGCCGACCAAAACCAUAAUUUGCAUGUUUAAGUUGAGCCUGCCACCAGCGCUUUCAUCAUCACCACCACCAUCAUCAUCAUCAUCAUCAUCAGCAGCAUAAGCAUCAUAAAAGGCGUUAUCAUUACCACACUACAACUCAUCAGCAUCAGACAAUCAUAUGUACAUACAUAUAUGUAUGUUUGCCGAAGGGUUUCUCGCCCGAUGAGAGGCAGCUGCUAGCUGCUUCUGCUGCUUCUGCUUCUGCUGCUGACCAGUUGAGUUGACCACUCGACAACCUUGACACAAAUGAAUGCGAAAAUCGAAGGACGAGCAGGACGAGGCGGCCCGCAGGGGGCGUGGCCGUCAUAACAACAACAUUACCAUUACCAAACCAAUUAGCCAGCACUUCCAGUCCAGAAUGAGAGCGGUGGCAACAUCCAGCGAGUGGCUGCUACCUGUUCCCAACUCAUUUGCCUAAUAGAACAAUUAUCGACGCCUACAGCCCGUGGGGCUAUGCUGUGCGAUGGAAAUAGUCUGGCACCAUGGGUCCUUUCGGCCGAGACUUGGUCACGCCGGGCACCAGGAGCGCAGGAGGACACUAACUGGGUGUUGCACAGCCAUUACGAUGAUUGUGUCCAUGAUAGUGACGAUAAUUACCCUAACGACGGCAGCAAUAAUGGCCACCAGUUGGCCUGCUGCUCAAAUACCCUGUCGAUUAAACGGAAGCCUACAAUUACCAAUUCCACGGCAGCCGAGUGAUAUAAUAUGUGCAUAUGUAAAUUUUAAAUUAAUUUUAAUUUAGGAAAACUUAAAAUUCGAAAUCUUAAUACGUUUGUAAGUCUAAUGUGACACUUGCUAUUAGUAUAAUAGUAGAAAUAGUAGAGUUGUCCGAUCGGAAAUAGUUCGUCUAACUUACUGCCUGCAAUUAAGGUCUUUCUCUAGUUGCGUAAGUUUUAAAACUUUGAAGAACAAACGGACAAACGGACAGACGGACAAACGGACGAACGGACAAACGGACAAACGGACAAACGGACGAACGGACAAACGGACAAACAGACGAACGGACAAACGGAAGUUGUGAAAUUCUGAGCAAUGAAUAAAUCUGAGUAAUAAAAACAUAAUUUGUAUAAAAACAUUUAAAAGCUUAAAGAUAAUUUAUAUCGAUAAACCAACUACAAAAGAUUUCGAUUUCACCAGGCAUUUUGAAGCAUUGAAAUAUAUACGCUCAAGUUCAGCGUUUAGCUUGCCAUACAAAAGCUAUUCAAAGCGACUAUUCAACACCGCCCACUUUCUCGCCCAACCGCUCCAUGUGACAUCCACAUGUGUUGCUCCUGCUCCUUGACCUUCUCCGUCCGCUUGCAAAUCAACUUUGGCGCAGAACAAGACAAUGAACGCCGUAAUGAAUAAACAGAGGCGUCGCGGAGGGGAUUUGCGAGUGCAAAAGCGCAUUUAACGGCUUUUGCUGGCAAAGGAAACGCAAAUAAGCGACAAGGACGCGAACAAAGAAAAGGGGAGUAGUCACCCCCUGAAAAUAAAAAAAAAAAAUAAACGAAGAAGGCCAUCCAGCGAACUAUGUGUUUUGAAAAAUGUCAAGGCUCCUUUUUGGGCGGCGGGGGCGGUGGCGCAGGAAAGGGCACGGGCAGGGGAAGAGGAAGAGCACAAUUUCUGGCAACCCUUUUGGCCAACCAGCCAAAUCCAUAAGCCAGCGAGCGCUCAAGGGCAAUUCGGUUAACAAAACAAUGGCCACGACGGCGAAUCCGCCAACGACAAUGUUGGCAAUAUGCAGCCUUUGUAAGAGGCUAAAAUUGAAAAUUGCUGGGGGUGGCAUUUACAGUUGAUUCCACUGGCGAAAAUAGUCCAGUUAGCUAAUAGGAAUCCAUAGAAGCAAAACUCAAUAUGCAUGCAAAGCAAAACCAUCGAUUUUUUUCGAUUACUUAAGGUGCACAUAUCGAUUCUAUUGAUAGAGGUACUAACAAGGAUACACCUCAAAACGGGAAAUUUAUUAAUCUUGUUUGAAUGCACUGUAAUGCAAAAUCUAUCUAUAAUAUCGAUAUAGAUUAUGCUAGGAAAUAAUUGAAAACGAAUAUACUUGAAAUGAAAGAUCUAUUUAACUUAACGAUAUUCAUUACACAAACUGUGUUGUGCAACCAAUUGAAAAAUGUCGAAAGUACGGAAGCUAUCGCAGUUACCGAUAAUAUCGAUACUGUCAUCGCUGUUGUUGCAGCACUCUUGAUCAGAUUUUAUUUACUUUCGAAAGCAUAAAAGAAACUUCAAUUUAUUAUUUCUCUUGGGAUUGCCAUUUCAGUUGGAUAACAAAUUCAUUUUCCUAUAGGUGCGAGGGUAUUAAAAACUUUGGCUUGCUUAAGUUAACUUUGGCUCUGGGAACAAUUUAAUUAGAAUUAAAAACUUUUCCUCAGCAGGUUGGUGGCGCUGACCUUCAACUUUCUUAAGCGCAAAAUACUUGUAUAAAUACCAGCUAUCCCUUAGCAAGAUUUUCGCAGAAUGGUUAUUGUCAACGCACCUGCCUCGCUUGCCAUCGCGAGUUUCCCAGCACUGGUCGCGUUUUCAAUUUUUCCGCCGACCAUUACAAUUGUCCACCCCACCCCCAUCCCACUCUCAUUUGCGCACCCUUGAUGACAUUGAUUCGUCAUCAAAGCAGCAUAAAAGCAUUAGCAUAAACGCAAGUAUAAUCUGACUGCCGCUAAACGCUUUUGCACGCCAAUCAUUUUUGUGGCCAGCAGCAUUUUCCUGCCUCCCACAGCCACGCCCCCCGUUUUCCAUCGUUUUGUUUGGCUGCUAUUAAUGCUAUUGUUGAUUUUGUUCACUUUGUGGCUUUGCGUGUCAAAUCAGAUUUGGAAUUUCUGCUGCUGCCUCUGCUGCUGCUGCUGCUGCUGCUUUUGCUGACAGAGCUUCGGGCGAAUUUUCCCCCUUUUCCAUUUCCUAAUUUCCUUUUCCGCUUUGUUCUUGUUGCGCACUGGUACUUUACACUUGUGUGCGUUCUCCGCCAAACUCCCCGGCCAAAGAGCUGAUUUGCGUGAUGUGCCGAUGCUAAUCAAGGGAAACAGGAACAAUUAUGUUGGCAACACUCGCAAAUGGCCUGCUAAUGUGGCCAAAGCUCCAGGAACUUCAGAAUUUAACCACACACUACUCUUGCUAUCAAAGCAAAUGGAAUUAUGAGCAAAAUAUUCGAUUAUCUUGCUUUACAUUGGAUAAAUAACUAUUAAAUUAAGUGGAUUUUGAAGAACGUUUCUUAACACUAAUGGCAUUAAUGAUUAAACAAAACCUAUUUAAAGUUUGGUAGAAUUCAGAAGACUUGCAUUACAAUACAAUUCUGCAAGAAUAAAGUAUUCUAAAAGUAACUUUACUGUCUUUGAAUUGAAGAACAUCUGUUCUUUUCUGGUUCGAACAAUCUAAACUGCAUUACUUUCGCAUUGCAUUUAUAUGGAACUCUAUUAUAGUAUUUUAACCAUUAAGUACUGAUGAACUGUGCAUAAAAUGAAUGCUGAAAAGUGUAUUUAACGUGCUUACUGCAUGAUGACGAAUGAAAUUGCCACAAUUUAACAAGCAAAAUUUCAUCACCGGUGCAAUUUUUUCUACAAGAGUGCCACUCAUAAUUUAAGCAACCUCUUUGAGGCUGCGCUGCAUCUCCAAACAUUUCAGGACAACAGCCUUGAAAGGCUUAAAUCCCUGGCACACACAAUCAAACAGGUGGGGGUGUUGGGUGUUUGGAAAUGUUUGCUGAAGGGGUAAGAGAAAGGGAAAGGGAAAGCAACAGUUCAGGGGCAAACACCGGUCAGAAAAUUGAAAUGUGCGUGUGCAGUGAAAUUGCGUUGGAGUCGCAACCACAAAGCCCUGCCCAAACCACCCCAAUCACCAAUGGGUACUAAUUGUGGGUGGGCCUACUUUCGUCCGUUGCAGUGGGUGGCGUUGGUUCAAAGGUCACCACCAGUUCGGUUGCCACCAAGCCAAGCGGUUCGCCCAGCCAAGCGAGGCCAAUAUUAUCAUCCAUGUUCCACAGCAUCUGACACAUCGAUGACAGAAUCCUGUGGCAAACGGAAGUGGGUGGAUGAUGGGUGCUGGUGGGUGGUGGUUGGUCUUGUUUGGCGCUGGUGCAGGGAUGCAAAUUCGAUUUCGUUGCUUGGCCUUGUACGGGAUAUUGAAUGCCAUCUGAUUGCUGCGGUUAGUCCUGGCGAACUGCGAUGCAAUUCAAUUCAAUUCGAUUCGAUUCGAUCUCCAUCGGUGCAUGCCUCUGCGUGCAUUCAUCGCCUAAGUGGAAUAGUCCGCAGUGAUUAGUUAUGCAGCCACACUCACAUCCAACGCCCAAUGGCCACCUGGAGUCGGGUGGUUCGAUGACAAAUAAUCCAUUUCACCAGCGCACCUUAUUGGCGAACCUCGUGCUGUUGACUCACAGAACUUAAUGAGUAACGCCCCCUGCGGUCAGUUUGUUUCGCCACAAAACGACAAUCCAUUAAAAUCGAGCAACUAUCAGGAUUACCUAAACAUCUGCCAUUGCUGGAGUUAUGCAAAGAUCCAUACAGAUGCAUACAGAUACAUAUGCGUUUGGACAAAAUUCGAGUUGCGGGGAUUGUACAAUCCGUUUACCAAAUGCAGUUCUAGGAAUUCGAAAAGACACCUGCCUUCCUUAUCAGUUCCACUUUGGACUCUCCUCGAAUAAGUGCUAUACGUUCUUGCAGUGGAUGUCUUAUGAUAACAGACUCGGCCACAAUGCUGGUAACACUUGAUCAAUAAUAAUAAAUUACUGAUUAAUCGCUAGACAAAUAGUUAAACAUCUAACUAAUUCAUUUAAUUUGUUGUUUUAAGUAAAAACAUUAAAAGAGUUUUUUAAAUAGCCUGUGCAUAUAUUUCAAGUGACAUAUAUUUAAUUAUUCAGUUAACGCUUUUUCAAUUAAGCUACAAAAACUGAAAAUCCUAUUUUCUCGAGUGCAACUGUAAAUGUGUCACUUUGAGUUAUUUUCAACGCAAAUUUUCGAAUUUAUUUUUCGAGCAUUGGCCGCGUCUGUUUCCGAUGGCCCGCAGGUGAAUGGUGUGUGUGUGUGUGUGUGUGUGUGUGUGUGCGCGUGUGUGAAGUGUGUGGCAGGGGGAUCCCCAACAUGCAUUCCCAUUCGCAUUCCUUAUCCGCUGCCUUUCUGCGCUUCUCUUGCACGUUUCCUCUCUUCUGUUUCUGUUGCUCUCCAUGUGUUUGGGGGGCUCUUAUUUUUUGUGCUCGUUCACUUUGCGUUAUUUUUUUCUUUUCUUUUUUUUUUCUGUGUUGCCUUUUUGGACAUUGCCAACGAUGGCAUUUUUGUGGCCUAAAUUCAUGGCAGCAAAGUGGCGGAGUGGCGGGCCAAGGGGGACUAGGGAGGGGCUAUUCGAGGGGCCUGCACUGGCGACUGCAAUGUGUCAGCGGCAGUUUGCCUCUGAAUGAAUCUGUUUACAUUUUCCCCAUUGGGGUCUCCUUCCCUUGCUCACCCACUUCGACCUACCAUAGCAUAGCCUUGUCCUUUUCCCUCGCCCACCCACCGCCACCCACAGACUCUGCUCAUUACUGCUUGAUAGCUGAUAACAACCUCAAUAGAAGUGACCAACAAAAGCUGAGCGAAAAAGCAUGGAAACGAGAAAGGCAGAAAGGACAGUGGGAGAAAGAGGAGGCCACCAAGGUAUAACAGAAGCUCACAAUUCUUUUCAGGAUGCCAAAUCAUAGUUGUUCAUAAAAAAUUAAGUACCGAUUAAUUAUGUACUAUAUAUGUACUUACAUAAGUGGAAUGAAUAUUAUAUCUUAGAAAAGGGAUGACUUUUAAAAAACAACUAGGACUUCAAACUUUAUCAUAAUUAUAAAAUAAAUUUGAAAAAUAUAUUGGUUUAAACUUUUUUACGAACGCUUACAAACGAUGUACGCAUGGAGUUGUCUUAACAAAGAAUACCAAAUAUUCUGUAAAUAUCUUUGAUUUGUUUUAAUUAUUGGUGGGUCUACUGAUCGUAAAAUAUAUAGAACAGAAAAAAAUUUAAUUACUCUAAGCAUUUUCUUAACUUUAGUUAACUAUUUUUUGGGCAAAAAGUAAACACUCAAGUAAUUUCCUGAUUAUUUAUAAGAAUUAUAUUUAUAAGAUUAAGAUAUUUGUGUUCAUUGACUUGUAGUUGUUAUAUUUAUAAUAACAAAACAAAAACCAAAAUUUGAGUUUAUGAGAGUAUUUGCUGUCAUAGGUAAGCACCAUUAUGGAAAAAUGCAAAUUUCGCUCAGUGCACAGUGAAACGGCGACUUAGGAGCACCGUUAAACGAUGACGACGAACACAGAAGCAACAAGAACCGAACCAAAAGAAGAGGCAAGCAGAAGAUGAAGCUGCCAAAGUUGCAGGCAAGGCAGACGACGACACCAACAACAGUAAAAACCAUCUCAACUGGCUGCCAACGACUUUCAAUAAAAAGAAGCGAGACAGCGCAGCGCAGCGGCAGCGGGAAAAUUGCUCAGGAAAAUUCUUAUAAGAAAUUAGCAAAAACGAUGACGACAGCAGCAGCGAUGCGAUUUUGCCGUUAGCUUUUUCCCCCUUUCAGUUGGGCAAAACGAAUUGCUCAAGAACAGGACGGAGAGCGAAAGAGAGGAAACUGGACCAGCGAGAGCGCCAAAGAGAGCGCGAGAGCGAAGACAAGGCGCGACUUGCAGCGCGGCGACAGCAGCAGCAGCAACAACCAACUCAAAAGCAACAAGAGCAGAAGCAGCAGCCAAAGGCGAGACAAUUGCAGCACAACCGAUGCAGCCAGGCGACAAAAGUGGCACACUAUCGCGAUUUCCAUAGAAAUCAUCAGUGCACUUACAACAGUCGCAUCCAAAAAAAAACCGCAAUGCAAGAAUUAAGCAUAGGUGUAUUUUUUUUAAAGAAGUAUAUAUGUAUACACUAUAUAUAAAGCAUCCUAAAAUAGAAACAAGGACAACAUCCUUCUGGGUUUAUGGUUUAAAGCCUCUUCCUUUUCAUAAGAAAAGACUUUAUGAAGAUGAAGAAGAAAAUAAGAAGAGAUUGUUAAAUAUUCCUCUUUAUUGUACCGUUUAUAGUCAAUAAAAAUAAGAACCAGUUUUAAGAAAAACAACAACUUAAUUCAAUAAUAUUUCUUCGGGUGACCGUUUUGUCACCUGCACCAGUGGACUAAGAGCACUUUUCAGAUGCUUGGGCUUUAGGUUUUUUAGCUUUUUCUCGCUGCCCGACAACGACUACAGUAUAU